GCGUAGGUGACCUGCGGAGGAUCAUUA
rnacentral:rRNA from 1 species